rnacentral:rRNA from 1 species
UCACCAAGGCAGCGAUCAGUAGCUGGUCUGAGAGGACGAUCAGCCACACUGGGACUGAGACACGGCCCAGACUCCUACGAGAGGCAGCAGUGGGGAAUUUUCCGCAAUGGGCGAAAGCCUGACGGAGCAAGACCGCGUGAGGGAGGAAGGCUCUUGGGUUGUAAACCUCUUUCCUCAGGGAAGAAGCUCUGACGGUACCUGAGGAAUCAGCCUCGGCUAACUCCGUGCCAGCAGCCGCGGUAAUACGGAGGAGGCAAGCGUUAUCCGGAAUUAUUGAGCGUAAAGCGUCCGCAGGUGGCGAUUCAAGUCUGCUGUCAAAGCACGGGGCUUAACUCCGUUAAGGCAGUGGAAACUGAAUAGCUAGAGUGCCGUAGGGGUAGAGGGAAUUCCCGGUGUAGCGGUGAAAUGCGUAGAGAUCGGGAAGAACAUCGGUGGCGAAAGCGCUCUACUGGACGGCAACUGACACUCAGGGACGAAAGCUAGGGGAGCGAAUGGGAUUAGAUACCCCAGUAGUCCUAGCUGUAAACGAUGGAUACUAGGUGUAGCUUGUAUCGACCCGAGCUGUGCCGAAGCUAACGCGUUAAGUAUCCCGCCUGGGGAGUACGCACGCAAGUGUGAAACUCAAAGGAAUUGACGGGGGCCCGCACAAGCGGUGGAGUAUGUGGUUUAAUUCGAUGCAACGCGAAGAACCUUACCAGGGCUUGACAUGUCCGGAAUCCCGGUGAAAGCUGGGAGUGCCUUCGGGAGCCGGAACACAGGUGGUGCAUGGCUGUCGUCAGCUCGUGUCGUGAGAUGUUGGGUUAAGUCCCGCAACGAGCGCAACCCUCGUCUUUAGUUGCCAGCAUUAAGUUGGGCACUCUAGAGAGACUGCCGGUGACAAACCGGAGGAAGGUGGGGAUGACGUCAAGUCAGCAUGCCCCUUACGCUCUGGGCGACACACGUACUACAAUGGUCGGGACAGAGGGCAGCGAACCUGCGAAGGCAAGCUAAUCCCAGCAAACUCGGCCUCAGUUCAGAUCGCAGGCUGCAACUCGCCUGCGUGAAGGAGGAAUCGCUAGUAAUCGCCGGUCAGAAUACGGCGGUGAUCCGUUCCCGGGCCUUGUACACACCGCCCGUCACACCAUGGAAGCUGGCCACGCCCGAAGUCGUUACCCUAACCUUUCGGGGAAGGGGACGCCGAAGGCAGG